GCCCCAGUAACGGCGAGUGAAGCGGCAACAGCUCAAAUUUGAAAUCUGGCCCCCAGGGCCCGAGUUGUAAUUUGCAGAGGAUGCUUUUGGCGCGGUGCCUUCCGAGUUCCCUGGAACGGGACGCCAUAGAGGGUGAGAGCCCCGUCUGGUCGGACGCCUAGCCUGUGUAAAGCUCCUUCGACGAGUCGAGUAGUUUGGGAAUGCUGCUCUAAAUGGGAGGUAUAUGUCUUCUAAAGCUAAAUACCGGCCAGAGACCGAUAGCGCACAAGUAGAGUGAUCGAAAGAUGAAAAGCACUUUGAAAAGAGGGUUAAAUAGUACGUGAAAUUGUUGAAAGGGAAGCGCUUGUGACCAGACUUGGGCCCGGUGGAUCAUCCAGCGUUCUCGCUGGUGCACUCCGCCGGGUUCAGGCC
rnacentral:rRNA from 1 species